CGGUCACUGAUUUACAGCAACCAAACAAUGAAUAAAUAAAUUAAAAAAAAAAAACUUAAAAAUGGUAGAAGAGCUUUGCCAUAUUCUUACUUACCCUUGUCUCACCGCCCUCCUCAGCAAGGCAGCAGUCCUGAAGACUGCAGCCUGCAUUCCAAGUGUGGAUCUUGGUCCCUGGUUCUGGAAGGAGAAGAGCAAGUCUUAUUCUCAAAGAAUUGUGUUUGUCUGUUCUAACCUGUCUGUGGGCUACCUGAAGGACUAAUGCAAAGCUCUUGUCUUUGUUUCACCUAAUUCAGAACUUAUUCAUUGUGAAGGAGCAUCUAUAUGCAGGGAAUUCCUGGAAAACAUUGCUAGAAAAAUGAACAAUCCUCUACUGCCUGGGCCAAAAGAUUACAAUUAAGGUGGGCAGAUGUUCUGGAUGCUUCUUAAUUGACAUCACUUGAGGUCAGUGCAUUUCAAACUUUAAUGUACACAUGAGUCACCUGGGGACCUAGUUAAACUUGAUUCUGAUUCAGUAAGUCUGGGGUGGGGCCUGGGACUCUACAUUUCUAACAAGCUCCCAUGGGUGCUAACUCUGUCUGCUGCUAGGGGACUGUCCUUAGAGCAGAGGCCCGGGUGACCAUCAACCCACCUUCAGUGAUACUGAUGCACUCAGGAAGGAAUGAGUUGCUUUUCUCUUUCUUGAAGCCCUUUGACACUCUGCACAUGUAUCCAUUGGAGCACUUUGUGUUGUAAUGAUUUGUGCGGGGCCCAUCUUCUCUAUGAGGCUGAAGGCUCUUAUACACAGUAGCUGCAUCUUAUUUAUCUCCAUUUGCUCUUGACUUCCACCUCUCCUCACUUUAACACUGUGGUUGGCACAAAAAAGGCACUUAAUGUAUGAUGAGGAACAGGCCCAGACAGGCCUGAUGGUGAUCGGGUGAGCUCAUAAAUGAUGUGGGCUGUUACGUGGCAUCUCUGUUCCUGCGUGGCCAGAUGGCAUAAACCAGUGAUUUCCAACCCUGACUACAGAUCAGGGGAAUUUAAAAAAAUACUGAUCCCAGGCCCACUCCAGUGUUCUGAUUUAAUUGAACUGUUUUGAAGCCCAAGUAUGAAUGACUUUAAUAGCCCUCCAGGCUCUUACAGCUCAAAAAUAAAAAGACAACCCAAUUAAAAAUAGGCAAAAUAUUUGAAUGGAUAUUUUCCCAAGGAAGAUUUACAAGUGGCCCAUAAGUACAGAAAAAGAUAUUAAAUAUCAUUAAGGAAAUGCAAAUCAAAGCUGAGAGAUACACUUCACACCUAAUAGGACGGUGUGGGAGAAUUUCAAACUUUCCCUCUGAAGAUUUGAGUCUAAGGCUGUUGAAGUGAAUUGACAGUAGAUGGAUUAACAGGAA
rnacentral:lncRNA from 1 species